AAGUCGUAACAAGGUUUCCGUAGGUGAACCUGCGGAAGGAUCAUUAACACGUAUCCAAACGUUAAACCCCCCUGUGAACCUUCAGUCGUACUCGUACGUCCGUUAGAAAAAGCAGCAAUCCCUGGUAAAUCAUCGCCGAACAGUUUUCGAUUCAGGGACGUCUGCAAGGAGCGUGCAUGUUGUGCGUGUAAGUGGCCUGGCAUCCCCAAGCAGUUAGUGUCUGAAAGUGUCACUAACUAACAUGUGUAAGGAUGACGCAGUCACGAUCGUUGGAGGCCCACACGGCCGACGACCGGGUCACCGGGUGCAAGCCCCCUUAUCACACCCCUGCUCUAUCUAUGGUGAUCCUGCGGGAAGUCCUGCGGUCGAACGCCGAAACCGAACAACUGUUAACAAUGGAUAUCUUGGUUCUC
rnacentral:misc_RNA from 1 species